CAGCGACGCCGCGUGAGUGAAGAAGUAUUUCGGUACGUAAAGCUCUAUCAGCAGGGAAGAAAAUGACGGUACCUGACUAAGAAGCCCCGGCUAACUACGUGCCAGCAGCCGCGGUAAUACGUAGGGGGCAAGCGUUAUCCGGAUUUACUGGGUGUAAAGGGAGCGUAGACGGCAGCGCAAGUCUGGAGUGAAAUCCCAUGGCUUAACCAUGGAACUGCUUUGGAAACUGUGCAGCUGGAGUGCAGGAGAGGUAAGCGGAAUUCCUAGUGUAGCGGUGAAAUGCGUAGAUAUUAGGAGGAACACCAGUGGCGAAGGCGGCUUACUGGACUGUAACUGACGUUGAGGCUCGAAAGCGUGGGGAGCAAACAGGAUUAGAUACCCUGGUAGUCCACGCUGUAAACGAUGAUUACUAGGUGUUGGGGGACCAAGGUCCUUCG
rnacentral:rRNA from 1 species